UACGGGGGGGGCAAGCGUUGUUCGGAAUUACUGGGCGUAAAGGGCUCGUAGGCGGCCAACUAAGUCAGAUGUGAAAGCCCCGGGCUCAACCUGGGAAUUGCAUUUGAGACUGUGUAGCUAGGGUGCGGAAGAGGGAAGCGGAAUUUCCGGUGUAGCGGUGAAAUGCGUAGAUAUCGGAAGGAACACCAGUGGCGAAAGCGGCUUCCUGGUCCAGCACCGACGUCAGGCACGAAAGCGUGGGAGCAAACAGGAUUAGAAACCCUAGG
rnacentral:rRNA from 1 species